AGCAGUGAAAUGCGUAGAGAUGUGGAGGAAUGCCGAUGGCGAAGGCAGCCUCCUGGGAUAAUACUGACGCUCAGGUGCGAAAGCAUGGGGAGCAAUCAGGAUUAGAUGUCCUGGUAGUCCUCACCGUAAACGAUGUCAAGUAGCUGUCGGGGCCGUUAGACCUUAGUAGCGCAGCUAACGCGUGAAGUUGACCGCGUGGGGAGUACGGUCGCAAGAUUAAAACUCAAAGGAAUGGGCGGGGCCCCACACAAGCGGUGGAUGAUGUGGAUUAAUUCGAUGCAACGCGAAAAACCUGACCUACGCAUGCCAUGUCCGGAAUUCUGAAGAGAUUUAGAAGUGCCCGCAAGGGAACCGGAACACAGGUGCUGCAUGGCAGUCGUCAGCUCGUGUCGUGAGAUGUUGGGUUAAGUCCCGCACCGAGCGCAACCCUUGUCACUAGCUGCUACGCAAGAGCACUCUAGUGAGACUGCCGGUGACAAACCGGAGGAAGGUGGGGAUGACGUCAAGUCCUCAUGGCCCUUAUGCGUAGGGCUUCACACGUCAUACAAUGGUCGGGACAGAGGGUCGCCAACCCGCGAGGGGGAGCUAAUCUCAUAAACCCGAUCGUAGUCCGGAUCGCAGUCUGCAACUCGACUGCGUGAAGUCGGAAUCGCUAGUAAUCGCGGAUCAGAAUGCCGCGGUGAAUACGUUCCCGGGUCUUGUACACACCGCCCGUCACACCAUGGAAGUGGGUUUCACCAGAAGUAGGUAGUCUAACCGUAAGGAGGACGCUACCAUCGG
rnacentral:rRNA from 1 species